GACUCGAUAGCUCAGCUGGUAGAGCAAUACACUUUUAAUGUAUGGGUCCUGGGUUCGAGCCCCAGUCGGGUCA
rnacentral:tRNA from 2 species